UGCAAUUGCUGUAAGGUGUGAGUCAGUGUUGUUUGACUGCAAAGCUGAAAGACUUUGUGAGCACGCCAGUGUUCUAUCGACACAAAGCUGUCUACUGUCCAAGCAGCAAACCCCAACCAUCUUUGUCUCCUACCGAGUGGACACAUGAUCAACAAAAGUGAAACACCCACAGCCACUGAGAGAUGCCAUUUUUCUCUUGCAGUCAGAGAGUUUUCAUUCCAGAAUUUUAAAGUCGACCCAAGGGUGCGCCGAGGACACACUUGCGCGUCUUAGUGUGAGGAUUUUGGAUGAGGAAGAGAUGGAAGGAGAAAGAGUGAUGGUUUGCAACUUCCAGUGAUUCAGCAAUU